rnacentral:rRNA from 1 species
CUGGCUCAGGAUGAACGCUAGCUACAGGCUUAACACAUGCAAGUCGAGGGGCACAGGACGAUAGCUUGCUAUGUUGCUGGCGACCGGCGCACGGGUGAGUAACGCGUAUCCAACCUUCCCCUUAGUAGGGCAUAGCCCGGCGAAAGUCGGAUUAAUACCCUAUGUUAUCCGAAGAGGACAUCUGAAUUGGAUUAAAGAUUUAUCGCUAAGGGAUGGGGAUGCGUCUGAUUAGGUAGUAGGCGGGGUAACGGCCCACCUAGCCGACGAUCAGUAGGGGUUCUGAGAGGAAGGUCCCCCACAUUGGUACUGAGACACGGACCAAACUCCUACGGGAGGCAGCAGUGAGGAAUAUUGGUCAAUGGGCGCGAGCCUGAACCAGCCAAGUAGCGUGCAAGGAUGACGGCCCUAUGGGUUGUAAACUGCUUUUAUGCGGGGAUAAAGUGCGGCACGUGUGCCGUUUUGUAGGUACCGCAUGAAUAAGGACCGGCUAAUUCCGUGCCAGCAGCCGC